rnacentral:rRNA from 1 species
GUUCCUACGGGACGCAGCAGUGAGGAAUAUUGGUCAAUGGCCGAGGGGCUGAACCAGCCAAGUCGCGUGAGGGAUGACGGCCCUACGGGUUGUAAACCUCUUUUGUCGGAGAACAAAACCCGGGACGUGUCCCGGACUGCGUGUAUCCGAAGAAAAAGCAUCGGCUAACUCCGUGCCAGCAGCCGCGGUAAUACGGAGGAUGCGAACGUUAUCCGGAUUUAUUGGGUUUAAAGGGUGCGUAGGCGGAUUUUUAAGUCAGCGGUAAAAUGUCCGGGCUCAACCCGGGCCGGCCGUUGAAACUGGGG